GGUGGCAAGCGUUGUCCGGAUUUAUUGGGCGUAAAGCGAGCGCAGGCGGUCAAUUAAGUUUGAUGUGAAAGCCCCCGGCUCAACCGGGGAGGGUCAUUGGAAACUGGUUGACUUGAGUGCAGAAGAGGAGAGUGGAAUUCCAUGUAUAGCGGUAAAAUGCGUAGAUAUAUGGAGGAACACCAGUGGCGAAGGCGGCUUGCUAGCCAAAGACUGACGCUCAUGCACGAAAGCGUGGGGAGCAAAUAGGAUUAGAUACCCUAGUAGUCCACGCCGUAAACGAUGAAUACUAAGUAUUGGGGAAACUCAGUGCUGCAGCUAACGCAAUAAGUAUUCCGCCUGUGGAGUAUGCACGCAAGUGUGAAACAUAAAGGAAUUGACGGGGGCCCGCACAAGCGGUGGAGUAUGUGGUUUAAUUCGACGCAACGCGAAGAACCUUACCAGGCCUUGACAUCCCUUGCAAAGCUGUAGAGAUA
rnacentral:rRNA from 1 species